UCAACACUCCUCUUAAAUGAUAACAUGGU
rnacentral:sRNA from 1 species